rnacentral:rRNA from 1 species
AGUGAACGCUGGCGGUAGGCCUAACACAUGCAAGUCGAACGGCAGCACAGUAAGAGCUUGCUCUUACGGGUGGCGAGUGGCGGACGGGUGAGGAAUACAUCGGAAUCUACUUUUUCGUGGGGGAUAACGUAGGGAAACUUACGCUAAUACCGCAUACGACCUACGGGUGAAAGCAGGGGAUCUUCGGACCUUGCGCGAUUGAAUGAGCCGAUGUCGGAUUAGCUAGUUGGCGGGGUAAAGGCCCACCAAGGCGACGAUCCGUAGCUGGUCUGAGAGGAUGAGCAGCCACACUGGAACUGAGACACGGUCCAGACUCAUACGGGAGGCAGCAGUGGGGAAUAUUGGACAAUGGGAGCAAGCCUGAUCCAGCCAUACCGCGUGGGUGAAGAAGGCCUUCGGGUUGUAAAGCCCUUUUGUUGGGAAAGAAAAGCAGCAGGUUAAUACCCCGCUGUUCUGACGGUACCCAAAGAAUAAGCACCGGCUAACUUCGUG